UUAGCAAGCACCAGCCGUCCCUAUAAAAUGAAAACCCCUCGUAAUUUACUUUUUGGCGCCUUGAGUUUGAGCUUCUCCAGCAAGCUUCAUUUGUCAUCCCAUGUUCUUGCUCCUCUCGUUCUCUGCCGCAUCUAGUUCUCACAUGACACACCAACAAUGGUUUUCCAUACUAAAUUCUCACUUCAAUCUUUCCUCAAACAAGUUCAUAAACUCACACAAACCCAAAGAAACUCCAUCACCCAAGUGGGAUUCGGCCAUUUGCUCCAAAUUCCAUCUCAUGUCCUAAGAAGAACCCAAUUAAUCGAAUUAAUGGAAACAUGGAACAUUGAAAGACAAUCUUUUAUAUUUCCUUCUGGAGACAUAACAAUAACCCUCUUAGAUGUAGUUUUAAUCUUAGGACUCCGUGUUAUUGGUCAACCUGUAAUCCUAAAAGAAGACACACCAUUAACAAACCUUGAGAUAGAAUUCGGUUCUUCAGUUCAAAACCGGUUUAUUACUGUUGAUUCACUUAAAGAUAGGCUUGAGAGUCUUGGUGAGAGGGCAGAUUCGUCUUUUGUUCGUGUGUUUUUGUUGUAUUGUUUUGGAACUUUGCUUUUUACAAGUGGAAAUGGGAAGGUGGAUUCGAGGUAUCUUUUGUUUCUUGAAGAUUUGGAUUAUGUGAGUAGUUUUGCUUGGGGUGCAGCUGUUAAAGAAGAUCUUCAUGAGUGUUUAACACAAUGGAAAAGUAAAAGAACAAAUAGUGUUAGAGGGUGUCUUAUUCUUCUUCAAAUAUGGAGCUACGAACACAUUGUUAUCGGAAGGCCUAAAUUACUAGAUUGCCCCUCCACCUUUCCGCGUGUAUGUCGAUGGGAAAGCAGUGGGCUUGGGGCAAAUCCGUCAUUUUUCAUUUUGGUCAAUUUGUUUUUAGAUACUAAGGAUUCUUGAACCAACUUCGGAGGAGAUUCAAAUUGAUAUAAUUAAGGAGAUCCCACAGGAAUGGUAUUUAAGAAGUGAAAUUGGAACAAUGGAGGAGCCGAUUAAUAUAGAAAGUGAAAGAUGUAUGAAAAUGGUGAGAGUGUACAAUUUAGAACAAGAAGAAAAAGAAGAAGAAGAAGAAGAAGAAGAAGAAGAAGAAAAAGAACCAAUGAUGCAACAAAAAUCUACCAUUUUUGUUCUAAGCGAUGAUGAUGAUUCAAAUUCAAUGAAGGAUCUAAAAGAAGAAAUUUUUGAAUUGAAGGCGAUUGUAGAGGAGCAAAAUAAAGAAAAGGAAGUUAUGAAGAAGGAGAUUGAAGAAUUGAGAAUAUUAGUAGAAAAACUACAAAGUGAUAAUAUGUUGAAGGAAAAUUCUAUUUCGGAUAUGAAGAACAAGAUCGAAGAAUCGAGGAUAUUGGUUGAAAAACUACAAAGUGAUGAAAUGUUGAAGGAGAAUUCUAUUUUAGAGUUGGAAAGAAUUGUAUCAGAAUAUGAGUUUGAUUUAUAGGCAAGUGUUGCUUCAAAGAGAAGGUUAUUGUACAAGUUAUAGUUAAGGUUAGGACAUUUAAGUGUAUUGAUUGACAUUAUAUUGUUAGUUUUUAAAUAUAUAAUUCUAGUUUUAGAGGUUCUA